AUCUAACCGUGACGGAUGUAAUCCGUGUUCAUCGCGUUACGAAUGUCAGAGUGGCGGACAACACAUCUACUGACUAGAUAACAGCAAGAUGAUCACGAUAUGGGUAGCCCUCAGCCUAGUUAUCGGUGGCAUACAAUUUCUCAACAUACAUGGACAAAACUUAAGAGAUUUAUCUCCGGAAGAAUUUAAUACAUCUACAAUUGGAGAAUACAGAGCAUUUCUCAAAAUCAAUCAAAAAACACUAAUCUUAGUUUCAAAGUUCGAUCUAAAUUGGACAGAUGCAAAAUAUGCUUGUGAAAAUCUCAGGAUGUCCCUUCUAAUGCCAUGGGAAAUCAGGACAAAUUUCAUCAAAGAAGUGUGGAUGGACAACAACCGAAAGAGUGCAUG